GAUGAACGCUGGCGGCGUGCCUAAUACAUGCAAGUCGAGCGAACAGACGAGGAGCUUGCUCCUCUGACGUUAGCGGCGGACGGGUGAGUAACACGUGGAUAACCUACCUAUAAGACUGGGAUAACUUCGGGAAACCGGAGCUAAUACCGGAUAAUAUAUUGAACCGCAUGGUUCAAUAGUGAAAGACGGUUUUGCUGUCACUUAUAGAUGGAUCCGCGCCGCAUUAGCUAGUUGGUAAGGUAACGGCUUACCAAGGCAACGAUGCGUAGCCGACCUGAGAGGGUGACCGGCCACACUGGAACUGAGACACGGUCCAGACUCCUACGGGAGGCAGCAGUAGGGAAUCUUCCGCAAUGGGCGAAAGCCUGACGGAGCAACGCCGCGUGAGUGAUGAAGGUCUUCGGAUCGUAAAACUCUGUUAUUAGGGAAGAACAAAUGUGUAAGUAACUAUGCACGUCUUGACGGUACCUAAUCAGAAAGCCACGGCUAACUACGUG
rnacentral:rRNA from 1 species